rnacentral:lncRNA from 1 species
CUUGCUGACAAUGCAGGUUCUGAUUCAGCAGCUGUGCAGUGCGGAGCUGAGAUUCCGAAUUUCGAAUGAGGCCUCAGGUGGUACCAGUGCUGCUGGUCCAUGAACCACACCUGGCAUCAAAGGGCCUAGGAACUGCUCCUUGGCCUUCUUGUAGAGAACCUGUGUGGAGAUGUUGCAGGAUGUCACCUCUGCUUUACUGCUAGCCAAAUAGCACCACAGGGCUGUCCUUGGCUUUGUUCAGCCCCACAGCGGACUUGACCUAGGGUUUUCUGACCACCAUCAGAUGAGCCUUGGCUUGAGGGAAUUUCCCAGCAGCUCAGGACCAGGUCUGGCAGUUUACAAUUAUUAGAGAAGUUCCGUGUAAGAAGGGUGGACGGCCUCCAAAACAACAGAAACUGGUAAAAAGAGACAAGAGAAGAGAGAGAAGAUCCGCAAAGGAAACAGAACAUUAGUCUUCUGGAAAGGUCAGCUCUUCCCAGAUAGAGGGAGCAUAUACUGAAAUCUGUGCCCAAGGAAUAAGACAUCAGGGAUGCAGGCCAGCAUUGGGCACACUCUCAACAGCUCAGGAAAUGAUAAUGCAGUGCAGCCUGCCCAGUUCAGUUCAAUCUGGAAGAUAUGUGUCCGAUACACUGCUAAGAACCGCCUUCGAAAAGUCUAGUGAUGGGAAACAAAUAUUGAUUGAAGAAUGUUGUCAGCAGGUUCUCAGAUGGCUCUCAAUGAUCCCCAUCUCCUGGUAUUCUUGCCCUUCUGUAAUCCUCUCUUCUUCACUGCGGCCUGGACCUAGUGAGUUGCCUCUAAUGAAUAGAAUAUGGCAAAGGUGGUAGGAUGUCAUUUCCAAGAUUACAUUACAAAAAGACCCUUGCCCUCUGUUGCUUUCUUGCUUGCUCGCUCUGAUGGAAGUCAGCUGCUUUGUGGUGAGCUGCCCUCUGGAGGGGUCCUUGUGUCAAGGAACUGAAAAAGUCUUCUGGCCAACAAUCAGAGAGGAACUGAGACCCCAAGUCCAACAGCCUGUGAGGAACUGAAUCCUGCCAUCAAACAUAUUGGAAGCAGAUUCUCCCUCAAGUUAACCUUCAGAUAAGAUUGCCCCGUGAGUCAGAGGACCCAACUAAGCCACACCAAGAUUUAUGAGAACUGAGAUGAUCAAUGUUACUGUUUCAAGCAACUAAGCUAUAUCUUGGGGCAAUUUUUUAUGCAGCAAUAGAUAAUUAACGGAAGAGAGAUUUCACUGUGGAGUUUUCUAUUUCUUCUUUUAAUUCUGUUGUUUAUAAAAAAAUUUUUAAAUUUCAUUGUGGUAAAAUAUACAUAAUAUAAAGUUUCCCAUCUUAACUAUUUUUAAAUGUACUGUUCAGUUGUGUCAAGUAUGUUCACAUUGUUGUGCAACCAAUCUCUAGAACUCUUUUCAUCUUGCAAAACUGAAACUACACCUAUUGAACAAUAACUCCCAAUUUCCCCCUCCUCCAGCCCCUGGCAACCACCAUUCUACUUU